rnacentral:rRNA from 1 species
AUUGAACGCUGGCGGCAUGCCUAACACAUGCAAGUCGAACGGGUGGCGGACGGGUGAGUAAUGUCUGCGAACCUGCCCGAUGGAGGGGGCUAACUACUGGAGUCGGUAACUACUAACGCCUCCCAUCGGCUGUUCCCCGAUGGGAGUAGCUUGUAGGUGGGGUAACGGCUCACCUAGGCGACGCUCCCUAGCUGGUUUGAGAGGAUGACCAGCCACACGGGAACUAAGACACGGUCCAGACUCCGACGGGAGGCAGCAGUGGGGAAUAUUGGACAAGGGGGGCAAUCCUGAUGCAGCCAGUCCGCGUGGAUGAAGAAGGCCUUCGGGUUGUAAAGUACUUGCAGCGGGAAGGCGGUACCCGCAGAAGAAGCACCGGCUAACUCCGUGCCAGCCGCCGCGGUAAUAC